CCUGCUCUGGAGAUGUCAGGUGUGGCUGCCGUGUCACAUGUGCAUCAGUAGGUGGCAGAGAGGAGGAAGCCCAUGUCUAGCUUUAGUGUUUUGAACUAUGAACAUCUAAAUCAGUUGUAGUUUAACACU